CCCACAUCAGAGCAAUGCGGAUCAGAGGUGCCAGGCAGCAAGGACGGGAAUCCAAUGUGCGGGUCCAAUUGGUUACCUAAGGGGACUCUCCUAAGGAGCUGGCUCACCAAAUCACGUCCCCGGCUACUCCUGUUCAUCGCUGGUUUAAAACGACCUCAGGUCACUCUGAUGCGGAGAAAGAGGAUGAAACGUACCAAAGUAGCAAAGGCCACGUAAGCGGUAAAUAGAGUAAUAGAGAGUGAGUGCACGUUCCCCUCAUUUCCCGGAGGAGUUGUUGGCGAGGCCCCGGGGAGAUGCCUGCGGCUGGCACCCGUGAAGAAGGAGAGCAAAGUGAAAGCACCCAAAUAAAAGGAACUGCAGUCUG